AUCGUCCUUAGUUCUCGUAAUAUGAAACGCUUCACUUAAAUUGUGGCGCGAAUGUUUUACUUUAGCUGUACCCUAUGCGUCUGCAAAAUUUAUCCUAAGCGUUUCAGGGACACUUUAAUGACAGUAAAUAAUCAU
rnacentral:lncRNA from 1 species